UCCCUGAUAGCUCAGUUGGUAAAGAAUCUGCUUGCAACGCAGGAGACCCCAGUUUGAUUCCUGGGUUGGGAA
rnacentral:tRNA from 1 species